UUAAGCAUAUCAAUAAGCGGAGGAAAAGAAACCAACAGGGAUUACCUCAGUAACGGCGAGUGAAGCGGUAACAGCUCAAAUUUGAAAUCUGGCUCUUUCAGGGUCCGAGUUGUAAUUUGUAGAAGAUGCUUCGGGUGUGGCUCCGGUCUAAGUUCCUUGGAACAGGACGUCAUAGAGGGUGAGAAUCCCGUAUGUGACUGGCUGCCUCCGCCCAUGUGAAGCUCUUUCGACGAGUCGAGUUGUUUGGGAAUGCAGCUCAAAAUGGGUGGUAAAUUUCAUCUAAAGCUAAAUAUUGGCCAGAGACCGAUAGCGCACAAGUAGAGUGAUCGAAAGAUGAAAAGCACUUUGGAAAGAGAGUUAAACAGUACGUGAAAUUGUUGAAAGGGAAGCGCUUGCAAUCAGACUUGCACGCUGCCGAUCAUCCGGGGUUCUCUCCGGUGCACUCGGUUGCGUUCAGGCCAGCAUCGGUUUGGGUGGUUGGAUAAAGGCCUUGGGAAUGUAGCUUCUUUCGGGGAGUGUUAUAGCCCUCGGUGCAAUGCAGCCUACCUGGACCGAGGACCGCGCUUCGGCUAGGAUGCUGGCGUAAUGGUUGUAAGCGACCCGUCUUGAAACACGGACCAAGGAGUCUAACAUCUAUGCGAGUAUUUGGGUGUUAAACCCAUAUGCGUAAUGAAAGUGAACGGAGGUGAGAACCCUUAAGGGUGCAUCAUCGACCGGUCCUGAUGUCUUCGGAUGGAUCUGAGUAAGAGCAUAGCUGUUGGGACCCGAAAGAUGGUGAACUAUGCCUGAAUAGGGUGAAGCCAGAGGAAACUCUGGUGGAGGCUCGCAGCGGUUCUGACGUGCAAAUCGAUCGUCAAAUUUGGGUAUAGGGGCGAAAGACUAAUCGAACCAUCUAGUAGCUGGUUCCUGCCGAAGUUCCCCUUCAGGA
rnacentral:rRNA from 1 species